CCCCUUUCCUGAUAGUAAUGGGUUGGCCAAAUAGUCUGUUUAGUCUUUUUCUGUAAAAUAAAAGACAUUUUUUUCAUAUUCACCAAUAACUGUAUUAAUUUGGAUAUUUUGAGUGUGUUGGCUGUCUCCCACGUGGUAGAACAUUGAUUGUUUUCAAUUAAUGCCUCAAUUUGAUUGCUAUCAACUUCAACUGAUCUACCCAACCAUGGAGCAUCAUCCGGUAAGAAAUCUCCAGCAUGAAGCUUUGCAAACUACUUUGACAUGCUUGGUCAAUCACAGCAUCUCCUCCAUCCAUACACUGCAUAAAUCUUUUUUUUUGCAUUUCAGUUGUGUUUUUACAUUUCUUGAAAUAAUAAAGCAUA